rnacentral:rRNA from 1 species
GGAAGACAUGAUGAGCACACGAUGGAUGCCAUGGCGCUGCGUGCCGACGAAGGACGGGGCACGGCACCGAUAUGCUCCGGGGAGCCGCGUGCAGGCUGUGAUCCGGAGGUCUCCGAAUGGGGCAACCCGCCACCGUCAGGUGGCGCUCCUUCGUGGAGCGGGAACCCGGCCAACUGAAACAUCUCAGUAGCCGGAGGAAGAGCGAACGACGCCCGUAGUAGCGGCGAGCGAACCGGGCGAGGCCUAAACCGUGGCCGUGUCAAGCCGCCAAGCGUUGCGGCCACGGGGUUGAAGGACUGGCAGGCCGGGGUUGGCGACCCGGCGCCGACCGACCGUUGUGAGGCGAAGCAGUGUGGAACCCUGCACCGUAGAGCGUGAGAGUCGCGUAGCCGGCGACCUCAGGUCGGUAGCCAGCUCCUGAGUAGGUCCGGGCACGAAGAACCCGGACUGAAGCUGGGCAGACCACUGUCCAAGGCGAGCUACACGCAGUGACCGAUAGCGCACAGUACCGUGAGGGAACGGUGAAAAGUACCCCGGUGAGGGGAGUGAAACAGACCCUGAAAUCGUGUGCUUCCAUGCCGUGGGAGCCGGCGUGUCCGGUGACCGCGUGCCUUUUGGAGUAUGAUCCGGCGAGUUAUCCUCAGUGGCGCGGUUAAGGCAGUCCCAGCCGGAGCCGGAGUGAAAGCGAGCCUGAAGAGGGCGGACGUCGCUGGGGAUAGACCCGAAACCGUGUGAGCUACCCAUGGCCAGGCUGAAGCGUCCCUAACAGGACGUGGAGGGCCGCACCGGUGUCUGUUGCAAAAGGCUCGGAUGAGCUGUGGGUAGGGGUGAAAUGCCAAUCGAACACGGAGAUAGCUGGUUCUCCCCGAAAUGUAUUGAGGUACAGCCGCGGGCUAGGCACGCGCGGAGGUAGAGCACUGUUGUUGUGCGGGGGCUUCACCGCUUACCAAGCGACGGCAAACUGCGAAUGCCGCGCGUGCGCGCCGCGAGUGAGACGGCGGGUGCGAAUAUCCGUCGUCGAGAGGGAAACAACCCAGACCGCCAGCUAAGGCCCCCAAGUCAUCGCUGAGUGGGAAAGGUUGUGGCGCCGCUUAGACAACCAGGAGGUUGGCUUAGAAGCAGCCAUCCUUGAAAGAGUGCGUAACAGCUCACUGGUCAAGCAGCGCUGCGCCGAGGCUGUAACGGGGCAAAGCGAUGCGCCGAAGCUGCGGGUU